CUUCAUUUUAGGGAGGCAUAAAUUAUAGUCCAGAAUGAUUAAAGAUUUUGUGAUAUCAUAAAGAGAAACCCACCAUCAGAUCUUGAAAAUUACUCCUUAAGCAUGGUCUAUUGGAAAUAUUACCUUUAUGAUUGCAGAAGACUGCUUCUGCAUUCCACUUAACCAUCUAUUUCUGGAGAGUGUGACAUGUGAUAAAGCCAGUGGAUUCUGUCGUCAGAAGCCUACUGGAGCAUCUCUUUUACUAUGAAGUAUCCCCCCGGUCAUUACAUUGUGAGGAUAUCAAGCCACAGAGAAAGGCUCUUGUAGGUGUUCCAUUUGACAGAUCCAGCCAUGUCUAUCCCCAGAGUCAUCCUAUCCCUGGUAGAAGAAAGUCUUGAGAAGAAAGUUCUAGAUGAUUCCAGUAUCUUGCUGUUCAAAUAUUCCCAGAUCACAAUACCACGGACAUGAUAGGUGUGAUUCAUCAUGUAAUCAGGAGGAAAAUUAAUGGUAAAUUGAGGUCCAGGGGCAAAGAAACUGGCUUGUUUUCUGUAUUUACACUGUGAUUGUCAAUGACUAUUAUCUGCUGGGUCCAAAUAAUACUGGAAAUAGCUUCUUCAGGUCGGUAAUAUCAGCCAAAAUAAUGAAAUAGUAGCCGUGUCAGGAAGCAACCUCACCUGACUCCUCUAUUAGUUGGGAGAGAAUAUAAAGUGACCUGCCCUCCCUAACAUGAUCUUAGACCAAUUAUUAUAGUGCAUUGUUCUCAAAAGGCCAAGAUAUCUUAAACCAAUGCCCAUCGAUAAAAGCUUUUCCCAUAAACUCCUCCUAUUAAU